GACGAACGCUGGCGGCGUGCUUAACACAUGCAAGUCGAACGAAGUGGCGAACGGGUGAGUAACGCGUAAUCAACCUGCCCUUCAGAGGGGGUCAACAGUUGGAAACGACGGCUAAUACCGCAUACUGAAUGAGGGGAUUGCGUUGGAUUCGCUAGUUGGAGGGGUAACGGCCGACCAAGGCGAUGAUCAGUAGCCGGUCGGAGAGGAGGAACGGCAAAAUUGGGACUGAGACACGGCCCAGACUCCUACGGGAGGCAGCAGUGGGGAAUCUGCCGCAAUGGACGAAAGUCUGACGAAGCAACGCCGCGUGAGUGAUGACGGCCUUCGGGUUGUAAAGCUCUGUUAAGCGGGACGCGGUACCGGAAUAGAAAGCCACGGCUAACUACGUGCCAGCAGCCGCGGUAAUAC
rnacentral:rRNA from 1 species